rnacentral:lncRNA from 1 species
AUUAAUGGCGAUCUCCACCACAUCUCUUCGAGGUCCUUCUCUUCUUCCACUUCCUCUCGAAUCUCACAUCGCGAACUCAAGAUUCUUCUUUCCGAGAAUUCUCACUCUUCCUUCUUCUGUCUCCCACAAGUUUUCUCUUCGAGAAGCAGCGACUUCUCCGCAAUUCAUCAAACCAGCAAAAGCACAAAACAAACGCGAU